AUUGAACGCUGGCGGCAGGCCUAACACAUGCAAGUCGAGCGGAUGAAAGGAGCUUGCUCCUUGAUUUAGCGGCGGACGGGUGAGUAAUGCCUAGGAAUCUGCCUGGUAGUGGGGGAUAACGCUCCGAAAGGAACGCUAAUACCGCGUACGUCCUACGGGAGAAAGCAGGGGACCUUCGGGCCUUGCGCUAUCAGAUGAGCCUAGGUCGGAUUAGCUAGUUGGUGAGGUAAUGGCACACCAAGGCGACGAUCCGUAACUGGUCUGAGAGGAUGAUCAGUCACACUGGAACUGAGACACGGUCCAGACUCCUACGGGAGGCAGCAGUGGGGAAUAUUGGACAAUGGGCGAAAGCCUGAUCCAGCCAUGCCGCGUGUGUGAAGAAGGUCUUCGGAUUGUAAAGCACUUUAAGUUGGGAGGAAGGGCGUUUGGCUAAUAUCCAGGCGUUUUGACGUUACCAACAGAAUAAGCACCGGCUAACUCCGUGCCAGCCGCCGCUGUAAUAC
rnacentral:rRNA from 1 species